rnacentral:rRNA from 1 species
UUGCUAGUAAUGGCAGGUCAGCAUACUGCCGUGAAUACGUUCCCGGGCCUUGUACACACCGCCCGUCACACCAUGAGAGUUGGGAAUACCCCGAAGCCUGUGAGCCAACUAUAUAGAGGCAGCAGUCGAAGGUAGAAUCAAUGAUUGGGGUGAAGUCGUAACAAGGUAUC